rnacentral:rRNA from 1 species
GAUGAACGCUGGCGGUAUGCUUUACACAUGCAAGUCGUACGAAAGUUUUUAACUUUAGUGGCGGACGGGUGAGUAACACGUAAGAAUUUACCUUUAGGAGGGGGAUAACAACUGGAAACGGUUGCUAAUACCCCAUAUGCUUUUAAGUGAAAUGGAUUUUUCCGCCUAGAGAGAAGCUUGCGGCUGAUUAGCUUGUUGGUGAGGUAAUGGCUCACCAAGGCGACGAUCAGUAUCUGGUUUGAGAGGACGAUCAGACACACUGGAACUGAGACACGGUCCAGACUCCUACGGGAGGCAGCAGUGGGGGAAUUUUCCGCAAUGGGCGAAAGCCUGACGGAGCAAUACCGCGUGAAGGAUGACGGCCUAUGGGUUGUAAACUUCUUUUUUCAGGGUAGGAAUCAAUGACGUGUACCUGAAGAAUAAGCAUCGGCUAACUCCGUGCCAGCAGCCGCGGUAAU